rnacentral:rRNA from 1 species
GACGAACGCUGGCGGCGUGCCUAAUACAUGCAAGUAGAACGCUGAAGAGAGGAGCUUAUUCUUCUUGGAUGAGUUGCGAACGGGUGAGUAACGCGUAGGUAACCUGCCUUGUAGCGGGGGAUAACUAUUGGAAACGAUAGCUAAUACCGCAUAACAAUGGAUGACACAUGUCAUUUAUUUGAAAGGUGCAAUUGCUCCACUACAAGAUGGACCUGCGUUGUAUUAGCUAGUAGGUGAGGUAAUGGCUCACCUAGGCGACGAUACAUAGCCGACCUGAGAGGGUGAUCGGCCACACUGGGACUGAGACACGGCCCAGACUCCUACGGGAGGCAGCAGUAGGGAAUCUUCGGCAAUGGGGGAAAGCCUGACCGAGCAACGCCGCGUGAGUGAAGAAGGUUUUCGGAUCGUAAAGCUCUGUUGUUAGAGAAGAACGGGUGUGAGAGUGGAAAGUUCACACUGUGACGGUAGCUAACCAGAAAGGGACGGCUAACUACGUG